CAGUAGGGGAGGAAGUGCGAUAAACCACUGCCCAGCAGGACUCUGCGUUUUGAGGCCACGGAGAUCAGCCCCAGCCUCCUCGCCCCGGGUCCACACCCCACCGCACCCCGCCUUGCGCCCUGGACUUUGGGAGGAAUGCUGAGAAAGUAACCAAGUGCAAUGUGAAGUGUAUUAUUGUCAGGGGCAACCUUAGGGGUACUGAUAAGGAAUUAGGAAGAACGGAGCGUCAGAGUAAGCUUCAUACCAGUUUAAAUUGAGUAAAGCUCAUUGUUUACUAAGAGCGGGGCAAUGUACAGCUGUAACUUUAAUUCCAUGUGGAAUUGCAAAACCAGUAUAGCUUUGUAGCCCUUUGUUUGCUACUUCCACACUUGCAUUCUCUCUCUCUUUUUUUUUUGGCUCGAUAAUAAACUUCAGUUAUGUUUAUUAAUAAGCGUAUUCCUUUUACUUUUGGUUUCGUAUUUCCCCCAGAGCCUUCGGAGAGGAAGUGAAGAACUCGCAGCUCCAGACCACGCAGUGAAGAAGGGGAGGCAGAGAAACAGUAGGUGCACUUGGAGUCGCGGGAGAUUUCUCCUGUGCCUAAAGAACUGGGAGAAAAGGACCCACGAUCGUCUUGCAAAGCUCGCAAACUCCAGUAGCAGCACUAAGAGGGUGCAUCCGUGGCUGUAAAUCUUUACCAGAAGCCGACUGCCACUUCUUGCUCCCACUGUUUGAAGACAGUUACCAGUAAAGUAAUACCAGAGAAGGGUGAGUCCUAGUCCUAAUCCUUUCCGAGUGCUGUUUCAUAAAACAGAAGAGAUGCGCAGUGAGGGUCAGGCACAGAAGGAAGAUACCAUGUGAGCAAGAUCUCUCACAGACCAAGGAAGGCCAAGAAAUCGAACUCCCGGGCACCACCGACAAGGAAGGCUCUUUCCCCCAGGAGCCCACAGGUAGGAUAGCCCCGCCGACUCUCUAAAUUGGGACGGACUUCUCUUCUAGUCCCUAGAGCACUGAGGUAAACAAACACGCGCUCUGAAAACCAGAAACUUAGCUGCACUUUCAUUGUAGCAGGCCUCCGUGAGAAACUUGGAGCAAUGCUACCAAUGACCCAGUAAAGAACCUCAGCCUUCUUUUGAGCGGGUCUCUCGGUAACUAAGGAGCAAAGUGGUUUUGUCACACAUGGGCAGAUUCCAACUAAGGAGCACUUCGCGGUUUCGUCACACGUAAGUCAUACAUAAAGAGACUGCUCCAUCUGUGCUGAUGAGGCGCAAUUGGACAACUUGGGCAGAGACAAAAGCUGGAAAAAAAGGAAAACACGUAGCUCCGCGAAAUACUCAGUUGUUAACAAGCAAAUGCAGAAUGGAACCACAGCAGAUCUACUUUUGAGAAACAACAAAGAUCAGGGGAAAGCGCGAACGCAGUCCCCCACUACCACAAAUUAUGCAGUCGAGUUUCCCACAUUUGGGGAAAUCGCAGGAGUCAGCACAUCCGGAGUGCAACGGAUAAGCCUCGCCCUGGGAAAACCACCUUCGUGAUCAUGGUCCGCGAAAUACUCAGUUGUUAACAAGCAAAUGCAGAAUGGAACCACAGCAGAUCUACUUUUGAGAAACAACAAAGAUCAGGGGAAAGCGCGAACGCAGUCCCCCACUACCACAAACUAUGCAGUCGAGUUUCCCACAUUUGGGGAAAUCGCAGGGGUCAGCACAUCCCGAGUGCAAUGGAUAAGCCUCGCCCUGGGAAAACCACCUUCGUGAUCAUGGUAUCUCCCCUGCCAGGUAAGUAUGAGUUGUUCCUCUGCCGCCCCCACGCAGCCUCGCACUCCUUACACUUUACGCAGACGGUCAUUUCGCUAGCCUCACUCCCGACCCCUCAGAGCCCUUCUACGCUCCCACAGCACACAAUUUCAUGGACAGACCUGGACUCCUUCCCACACCACCAACAGUCAUAACGUCUUUAAGCAGCACACGCCGAUCCAGCAGCCACUGCGCUGCCACUGUCUACAUAAGACAGUGCCCCGUCAGUGACAUCACCGACCGCGCUCUUCCCGCCUACCCACGGCCCGCCCCCUCCCCGCGUUUUCCUCCUCCCGUCCCUCCCAGACGGCCAAUGAGCGGGCCGGCAGUCGGAGGAAGAAGUGACGUCUACCUUCCCCCGCCCCAACGGCCACCGUUUACGCGGUGAGCGGAGCCGGGGGCCUGGCCCAGCCGCGUCUCUCCCGGACUGCGCGGCUUCUUCACGUCUCCUUCCCACACCUCUUGGGCGUUCGGCUGGAGCCUGUGCAACCUUCUCGGAAUAAUGAGUGGCUCUUAACACGUAGAAUAGAGCAGAAAUUGAUAUUAGCCCUGCCUCAAAAUCAUUUUUUUCCAUGGCAUAAAAGGUAUCCUUUUUUUUUUCGAAGGCACCUUAAGGAGACCAAGACAAGUGUGUUACCGAGAGAAUUUGCAGCCAUCCACGGAUCACAAAAAGAUGUUUAAACACGUUUUGUGUGGAAUACACCCGUGCAUGUAUGAACUGGAAUCCUAGCAGCAGUACUUUUUGACUUACCCUCCUGUCGCUCAGGGACAUGGGUUACACUUUUCACGAUGUGUCAGCCUUCUCGUUAUUUCCUUUGUGAUGGUUCUGUUUCCAUCGCUUCCCUGCCCCUCCUUACCUUCUCAUCAUCGGCCUGGGGUAAAUUUUGACCGUUAGGUCUCAUUAUUUAGAGGAGCACGGUAGUCGCAGGUGAUAUUAUUUAUUUUAUGAGCCACUCUGUCUCUUGGCUGGUAAGGGAACACCAGGAGUGGUUUGAGAUCCAAGUAUAAGGGCUAUCCCAGGGCGAUAGUCUCAGGCGUUCCUCUAGUCUCUACCGGUCCAGUAAGUGUUGACUUUUUUUUAGGAAUUUGAGUUUUGUUUUACGUUUUCGUUCCAUUCUAUCCUGGACCAUCUAUUAUAUCCCUGGUCAGAAUGGUCGGUAAUUGUAGCCGAGCACCAUCUCGGUAUUCUGCUCUCAAGGUAGAUGAGGCUGUGCUUCGCUUAGACUAUGAGUCCUGUAGACUAGUGUCUUCUUUGAGUCUUCGGUUUCCUUUUUCUCUUUUGCUCCUCUUUAUUUAUUCUUAAGAUAAAAAUCCUCUGGGACAACUUCUUGGCAUUCCGACCAAACGGAGUCAAAAAACCUGUCAUCACCCUACAGUGAAGCUCAAAGUUGGCAAAUUCCACUCACUCAGGGCUUUCUAUCUGCUUUUUAGGUCUCUGCUCUCAACUAGAGAUGACCAGAUUUACCUGAGAAAAUCAUCUCAUAUCAGUCACGGCUCUGACAGGAAACAGAAGCUACAUUCAAACUGAGUGAUUUAAAGGAAGUCUUAUGAAAAAAAGGGAAUAUUUAAUCCUGUGAGAAGUGCCGGCAGGAUUAAAAUAAUUCAGUAUAGGACAGUGAAGCAUCUGGGGUCUGGAAACAGUAGGAUGGCCAUUAACACCUCCAGGCCUGGGUGUGGGGGAGGAGGGAAGUUGGAGGAGUCUUUACUAGACCCUGGGAGACCCGGAGCCUUGGGGAGGAUCACAGGACAGGACUGUAGUCUCUGGAAGAGGAAUCAGCAAGUGACCCCCAGACCUAGCCCUGGCAGGUAGGGACCCCUAGGGGAUUUAAAAAUACCAGGAAUUCUCUCUGUUCCUACCCAUUGAUUACCUUCCUCUACCUCCCCUUGGCUACAACCAACAGGAACCAUGAGGGCAAGGAAGUCCAAGAGACGCUGCCUGUGGAGAUCAGAUUUAGUUGUUCCUUCCUUGCUCUUUCUGCUUUUUUUCCUUAGAAAUAUUUUUGACGUUGUUCCUACAACUCUACUCCCAUUAUUACGGUUUUAAUUUCCAAGGUAUUUUUUCGCUGAAUGCUCCUUUCUCUUUUUUUAUUUUUUAUCACGCUUUCGGUGAACGUUUACAGCUCAAGUUAAUUCCUCAUACAAAGAUUUAUACAUACAUUGUUAUGUGACACUAGUUGCCAUUCCCACAAUGUGACAGCACACUCCGCUCCUCCACCCCGGGUUUCCUGUGUCCAUUUAACCAGCCCCCUCGCUUUCUGAGUUCCCAUUCAGCCUGUGGACAGAAGCCACCCAUUCAGUCUCAUGUAUCUGCUUGAAUCAAGCAGCACACUCCUCAGGAGUAUCAUUUUACGAUUUAUAGUCCAGUUCUAAUGAAGCCACCGCCCAGGCUUCCCCUGCUCCUCCGCAGUUUCCUUCACUCCUCGUAGCCCGCCAAGCCCCAGUUUCUACCUGAGGCUUGGCCCGACCGCUCCACCGGCCAUAACCGCGGUUUGAAUUUGGCGCCAAAAUCCGGAGCAUGCGCAAACCAAGAGCAGCAGUGGCUCCAAACGUGACUCCGGACCUGAACGUCCCUGGAAAGGAAGAUGUUCUCCUGCACACAGCUGCACCUGAGCCAAUUUGCAAAGCGAAAGUUUCUUUCCCUUACAGACUUGACUCAGAACCUGGAUCUCCAAAUGUGGACAUGGGAGGGAUGGGGUAUUGGAUUUUGUGCGCCAGUCCUGCCCCCCUGGGGACUGGAGGGCAUAAAAGCUCCAAGCUCCCCUGGGGCUGGGAGUGCUGUGCUUUUUUCCGCUGCUGGGCCCCACGAGCCUUGGUCCUUGUUUUCGCAGACAAUAAGUUUCCACUUUCUGUUUCCCUUGCAGCUGGUGGUGUGGUAUCCGCUUUAUCUCAAUCGGCUAAUAGGACAGGACAAGAAUCCUCGUUUGAUUACGCCAAGAGUUAGCCUCAGGAAUGGCUCCAGUUCUGGGCUAACAGAGCUUCCGGGGCAUGUCCUCGAAGGUGCUUCCAGUCUCGGUCAGACCGUCGAGUCUGGUCUUUUGAAGUGAAUCUGAGUUCUGCGCCACACUUUUCUCCCGCUCCCUCAGGGACUCUCUGUUAUGUUCCCUGUCAGGGCGGUCAUUGGUGGUAGCUGGGCACCAUCUAGUUCUUCUGGUCUUAAGCUGGUGGAGUCUCUGGUUUAUGUGGCCCUUUGGUCUCUCGGGCUAAUAUUUUCCUUGCGUCUUUGGUGUUCUUCAUUCUGCUUUGUUCCAGGUGGGAUGGGACAAAUUGGUGCAUCUUAGAUGGCCCCUCACAAGCUUUUAAGACCCCAGAUGCCACACGCCAAAGUACAGAACAUUUUCUUAAUAAACUUUGUUAUGCCAGUUGACCCUAGAUGUCCCCCGAAACCAUGGUCCCCAGCCCCCAGCCCCUGCUACUCUGUCCCUCAAAAUGUUUGGUUGUAUUCAGGAAACUUCUUAGCUUUUGGUUUGCUCCAGUUGUGCUGACUUCCCCUGUAUUGUGUGUUGUCCUUCUCUUCACC